rnacentral:rRNA from 1 species
UCCGUAGGCGGGCAGCUAAGUCAGUGGUGAAAGCCUGCAGCUCAACUGUAGAAUUGCCAUUGAUACUGGUUGUCUUGAAUUAUUAUGAAGUGGUUAGAAUAUGUAGUGUAGCGGUGAAAUGCAUAGAUAUUACAUAGAAUACCAAUUGCGAAGGCAGAUCACUAAUAAUAUAUUGACGCUGAUGGACGAAAGCGUGGGGAGCGAACAGGAUUAGAUACCCUGGUAGUCC